UUAAUUCAAGCUACUUUAUAUCAACUUAGGCAUCCAUUAGGCUUUACUUUAACCCAUUAGUUCACCUAACUUUAAGUUGCAUAACCCCGGUUCUCUGAGUAGCAUGAGUGAGUGUCUCACUAUGGGAACACUCUGGGUGUGACCUCAUCAGAAGCUCCUAUUGCACUACUCCAGCGAGGAUUAGCUGGAGCAUGACUGUCAGUGCCAGGAAUUGUGGAGACCCUUUCCAUAUAAAAAUCAAGUGCAAGCACCACUUGACAAGCAGGUCAUUUAAAAAACACUCACCUCUUC